UGUGUGUGUGUGUGUGCUGGAGAGUGAGGUGUGAACUGUGUGUGUGUGCUGGAGAGUGAGGUGUAAACUGUGUGUGUGUGCUGGAGAGUGAGGUGUGAACUGUGUGUGUGUGUGUGUGUGCUGGAGAGUGAGGUGUAAACUGUGUGUGUGUGCUGGAGAGUGAGGUGUAAACUGUGUGUGUGCUGGAGAGUGAGGUGUAAAGUGUUUGAGCAGCUGUUCUGUAAGAGAGGUUAUACUACAGAUUUGAAAGACAGUGGGAGGAGUUUAUCUGGGGGAAGGUGGUGGGAGGAGUUUAUCUGGAGCAGUGGUGCUGUAUUGUGUUAUAAACAGUGAUAAUAGGAUUAGAAUAUUGUGAUCAGAUCUGAAAGUCAGGAUAAUAAUAAUAAUAAUAAGAAGAAGAAUAAUUUACAAAUGAUCACGUUUAUUGUUCCUGCAG
ensembl:lncRNA